CCAUCACCGCAGUACUCCUCACCGCACACCGCCAUGCUGCUUUUUCUUUCUCUAGUACUAUCAGCAGCAUUCGCUCUCUCUCUCUCUCUACUGUCACCUUCAUUUCGCGCUCUCUCUCUCUACUCUGUCAGUGUACAAAGCUACACAAGCAUACCUCACUUCUGCUAACUGCCGCGUAACAGUCGUUCGCAGCGGCGGCCUCCAGGUAGCAUCAUUCUCACUGGUUCCAGUUUGGAGCUCAGUCUUGUCCAUCUGAAGCUUUCUCGCUCUCGUUUCCAGGCUUCCAGCUUUGGUUCCUCAGUCGCUUCUGAAUUUGAUGCCACCGCUGCCGCCGAUGAGAGAGAUCUAGUGUUUUCGGCGCAUUUUGAUCUAGUGGGAUCUUGGGAUUUCGAAUCAUGAGGAUGCUGAGUGGGGAAUCGUGGCUAGGGCUAAUGAGGGAGAUGAGAAGGAAGAAGGGGGUGACAGUAGAUGAGAGAUCGACUAUCGGUGUGCUCACAUUUGAAGUGGCGAGCUAUAUGUCAAAAGCCGUUAAUCUCUGGCGCUCACUCAGCCAAGAGCAGAUCGCCAGACUCAGAGAUGAGGUUCUGCGCCUUGAAGGAGUGAGGAAGCUAGUUUCCAAUGACGAUAACUUCCUCCUUGGGUUAGCUCUGGCUGAGACCAUGGACUCUGUUGAUUCCCUUGCGCAUUCCGUGACCCGGUUAUGUAAGCGCUGUUCCGAUCCAGUGCUACAGCGUUUCGAUCAUGUCUUCGCUGAUCUGAUCAUGAAUGACUCUGAUCUGUAUGGUCUUUUGUAUUCCGGGAAGAAGAUGGAGCGCGAGGUUAGAAAAUUGGAGAAGUUUGUUGCUGCUGGGGCUAAUUUGUACCAGGAGCUUGAGAUUCUGGCGGAGCUGGAGCAGGGGCUGAGAAGGAUGGAGAUGAAUGCGGAGAUAAGUCGUCAGGGUAACAGUUUUUUGGAUUUCAAGCAAAAAGUAGUGUGGCAAAGGCAGGCAGUGAAGUGCCUGAGAGAGGCCUCAGUGUGGAACAGAACCUACGAUUACACUGUCCGUCUUUUGGCGAGAUCACUCUUCACAAUUGUGGAUAGGAUAAAACUUGUCUUUGGCUUUCAGCAGAAGGAUACUGAUACUUUCUCAAAAACUAUGAACCACCUCUCUCGCAGUAACUCUGUCAGUGGCGUUAUCCAGUCUUCCAUACAAUUCUCUAAUGGUGGAGCACUUCACAGGUUUGCCUCUGAUCCAAUCAAGAUAUCUGGUCACAUUGCUCUGGAUAAUGGAGUUGCCAAUGGUCGGCGGAGAGGAACUUUGCUCAGGAGUCCUACUAGAAUUAAGUGGCCGGUCUCUAGCAAAUCCUUCAAGGGAUGCAUUGUAGGAGAAGGUAACAACUCCCCUGUUCAUGAUGGAGAUAUCACUAAGCUAAAAAGGAGUUCAGGAGAUGGAACUGAAAGUGCUGAGUCUGAGCAUCCAAUGAACAUUUUCGAUGCAGAUUUACCUCCAUAUAUCUUUAAAUCUUGGCAGAAGUUGCUGAAAGCUCCUCCAUCAACCCUUGGUUCUGCCGCUUUAUCUCUGCAUUAUGCCAAUGUAAUCAUUGUGAUUGAAAAGUUUGCUGCUUCACCGCAUUUAAUAGGUAAUGAUGCCAGAGAUGAUUUGUACGGUAUGCUUCCUAGGAGUAUAAGGAUGGCACUGAGAAUCAGGCUGAAGUCUUAUGCAAUGAAUUUAUCUUUAUCUGUUUAUGAUCCAGAUCUUGCAGCAGAUUGGACUGAUGCAAUAGGCAAGAUAUUGGAUUGGCUAUCGCCUCUUGCCCAUAACAUGAUAAAAUGGCAAUCUGAUAGGAACUUUGAGCAGCACCAUUUGGUUUCUAGCACCAAUGUUCUUUUGCUACAAACUCUCUACUAUGCAAAUCAGGGAAAGACUGAAGCUGCAAUAACAGAAUUACUUGUUGGUUUGAAUUAUUUGUGGAGAUAUGCAAAGGAACUCAAUGAGAAAGCUAUACUUGAGUGUACCAGCAGCUGAAACUUUGUGACUGUUUGGGCAACAAAAAUAUGGUAUGGGAUGUUGGCAAGACAAAAUAGCUCAAGUGCAAACUUUAAAGACGAACUCCGAAGAGGGCGAUUUUGAAGUUCUUCCAGAUUUUUAGCCCAAAGGUGGUUUUCUUGGAGGUCGCCCAUGGGCCCUGUGUGGCCGACGGUUGGUCUUGGAGUUCAGAUACUUCAAGGUUUUGGAUCUCUUUCUUUCAGAUAUCGCUCAAGGCCAUUUCGGCGGAGGGUCGUCGUCGACUCGGUGUUGCCAACAGUUGUUCAUUUUAUAGAUUUUCUGAUAGUUUUUUGUGGUUUGAUCUUCUGUGGCUGACGAAUGCUCUUGGAUUUAGAUUUUUGUUUUUUCUUGGGUAAUGGUUGCUUUGAUUGGUUUUGGUUUUAUGUAUUCCUUGAUCUGGUGUUUAGAUUGAAGUUUUUCUUGAAGGAUCUCUUUUUGUUCAAGAAAUGGUGUAGAUGCAGAUUGUUCUGGUCUGAAGAUUUUUCUGUGCAAAAUGCGGUUUGGAAAUCUUUUCAAAACCAGAUAGCUCUUCGUUUUUCUUUGCCUGGUUUCUUGAAGAAUCUUGGUGAAAGAUCUGAUGCAGUCCUAGUUGUGAUUGCUUGUUCUUCUGUUCUUAUUUUGGAAUGUCCAAGUGGCAAGAUUUUUGAUGGAGCUGUGAAAGUUCUUGGAUUUUCUAUUGGUUUUACUCAUGUAUUGAGUUUGGAUAACAAGUUCGAUGGAGGAUUUGUCAAUGUCAUUUCUGCUUGUGAGGUUUGUUAUGUUUCGGUUGCCAUGAGAAUUGGUAGCUAUGUGGUUGGGAAGGAGGUUAUUUGUGUUGUUGGAUGUGGUGGUAUUAUGAAUAAGCUUGUGGUUGGUGUUCUUGUCUCCUUUAUGAAGAUAAUGGAGAUUUUAUUUGUUCAUGGAGGGUUCAUACCUUCAUCUAGUUUUAAGGAAGUAAAUUUUAUGUUUCAAGAGGAUUCG